GGGCCUGGGAGCUCCUCCCUCUCUACCCAGCGACUGCAUCCCUGAGUUCCAGGCCCUGGAGGCAGCCUCCUCCCCGAGAGGGGCGGGAAGGAGGGAGCUGGGGGAGCAGAAGAGGGGAACAGAAGACUGGGCCCGAAUAUAUACACCGAGAAGAAAAGAAGGAGGGACUGGGGUGGCCCAAGAAAGCUGCUCAUCAGAGAUAAGGCCUCAGCUGAGGAAAAACUGUGUUCAGCAAAGGAAAUACAACUCAGACAGAGGCCUAUAAAGCAUUUGGCUGAAAGAGCUAAGAGUAAAGGUGAAAUUUCAUCAAGAACUUAUACUGAAAGCUGCUACUGCUAAUUAACACUGGAGGUCAGACAAGAGAUGCAUCUAAGGAAACAGGCUUUUCAGACCAUUAGUGCUGCUAUGGGCAUUGAUUAGGAGAUUCUGAGGCACAGCUAGCUUUGAAAAAUGGUUCCACCCAAAGACACCAAUACUUGACCCACACCUGUGCCACACAGGCAGCCCAGCCUGUGUCCACUCCUACCGUCUGAGACAGAAAAAUAAAGAUGGAUCUUACCCCUCUCACCACUGCUAUUUACAGAAGGGAAAAGCAGAGUCCAGAAACAUCCUGUCACAACACACCGUGGCCUCUCCCCUCAAAAUUUCUUGAAGCUGUGAAUCCAUAAGUAAAUCAAUCCUCUGAUGGGGUCCAGGUGACUCAACCACCUUCCAAGGCCUAGCCUCUGAAUAUCAGGAAUCAACCAUUCAACACGUGAGUUUUGGUGGGACAUUUAAAAUGGGCCCAUAGCUGUCAUCCUCAGGUGGCCAUCUCCAGCUCCUCUCUCCGACUUGUCUGUAGGAUGUCUUUCCUCAGCUUCUCCAGGUCUCCGUUCAUCCUAUUUUCACGCCACAUGAACAGGCUUCCAUGUCCCUUCAUCCCAGCAGGAGGAGGAGCAGGAGCUGAGGUCAAAGCGUUCACUCACCUCAGCCCUGCGGGGUCACUAUGACAGCCUGCAGCAAUCAACCAGCAUGCUCGUCCACAUGCAUGCUCACGGUUCCACAGGAAAUGGCUGGGCAGGAGUCACACAGGGCACUGUGAGGAGGUUGCUCAGAUUUGGGUUGGACAGAAGGCAAAGAUAAACUGUUAUUAUUCCUUAAAUGCUUUUGAAUAUUUAUAUUAGUGUGCACUUGUGAUUUCUUUUU
rnacentral:lncRNA from 1 species